rnacentral:lncRNA from 1 species
AAAUAAGGCAUUCAUAGCCUUUGCCUUUAAAGCGAAAGUCUUCUUCUCUAACUCAUUCCAAUCGUUCAUUGGAAGAGAAGACUUUUGAAAUCCAUUUUCUACAAUAUUCCAAAGCUCAAAAUCCAUUGAAAUCAAGAAGAUCCUCAUUCUUGUCUUCCAAUAUGUGUAAUUCGUUCCGUUGAAUAUGGGCGGAUGUGUAAUUGAAUGACCCUCUUAGUUGCCAG